AAAGAAUAAUGGUAAACAUCUUCAUGAUCUUGGCUUUUCUACGUUUUCUUCCUCAAACUGUUGACUUGCCGUGUCUGCGGACCAAUGCUCACUAAACAGGAAUAAACCGGAUUGAACUCUUUCAUCUUCAAGUGUGUUAAUAGAAAUAUAUCCAGCCACCUGUCUAGCAGAAUACCAGUGUUGCCAGAACAACUACAACAUUGGACCACAUGCACUGGAACCUUCUUAUUUCAGGACUACCAGUGUGGAAGGGCUGUAUUUAAUUGUUGCUGUCAACUAUCUUGGUACCAGUCAUGACAACAUUUACCUACCUGCAGCAGAGGCCCUGCUGACUUUAAACAAUCAUAGCUGACGGAUUGAACUCUUUCAUCUUGAAGUGUGUUAAUAGGAAUAUAUCCAGCAACCUGUCUGAAGUUUUGCCAGAAUAACUACAACAUUGGACAACAAGCUCUGGAACUUUGUUAUUCAAGACACUCCUUGUUGUGCGUUUGCCGAAAUGCAGAGUGGUACCACCAGUCGUCUAUGCCACCUUUCCCCUCAUUUUAGAGGCUUAUAUGGACAGUCCCUGCAGUUUACAGCUAAGCCCUCAGUAUAGCCCUACAAAUUUUAGAUACUGCCGAUGGCGUAGAUCCAGUACAUUCGGCCUGAGUUUCCAGUACUGGGUUGACAUCUCCAUGCAGCCGAACUAGAGCCAGGAUUAAUAUCAGACGGACCUCUUUGUGGGUGGAUGGAUUCAGAGAUGACCUCUAGGAUGCGGCCAUGACUGUGUCACAUGGACGUUACAGAUGAAACCAUCAUGAUUUAGUUUUUUGGUGAUAAAUCAACAGACAAAGUGUGUAUACUUUGUGGAUAAAUAGUGUUAAAGCUAGAAACUUUUCUACAAAUUCCUACUAAAGUGGUGAACUGGAAUAAUAUUGUAUAUAACAAAGAAGAGAAUCUUGUUGUGAGCCGAAUACACAAUUCUGCAGUCAUCUGCACUAGACCUGUUGGGGCAGUUUGAUUUGAUUUAUCAGUGGCUCUACUUAAAGCAAGCUUUUGUUUUCACAAGCUUGAUGUAAUAUAUAUGAUCAAAUACAUGAUUGUUUUUGAGUGAAAAUUUAAAAAAUAAGAAAUUCUACCUCUUUUAAACCCAAUAUACCAGCUUGGAGACCGAAAUCCAUCUCUGACAUUGCCAGAGGUUCUGUUCAAACUUGUAAAUACUGUUAAUAAUUCAGGUAGUGGAUACAAUUAACUGUAACAUGACUGUAUAUUUCUUAUGUACAAAAUUAAUGUUUAUUUUUUUUCUGAAUAGUAAUGUCAAUGGUGUUUUGGGCUUCUGUUAAAGAUGCACUCAAACUCCCAAAUGAGAUUUACCACAUUUAAUAAUAUUAUUUAAAUAUUCCAAAAAGGAUGAAUAAAUGUCAAAAACAAUGGUUCUUAUGAAGGAUACCGAGUUUAAUUUUAAAGAAAUUAGCAUAAAACACGGUAUUUUUACCUUUUGAGACUAAUAUAUUAGUAGACCACAGUAAAUCUUUUAGCAUUCACCAAUCAUUUAAUAUGUUUUGCGUUUUGGUUACAAUCUUGUUAUCAGUAAUUAAUAAUAUUCAUAAAUGCAUUAUUUACUUUAAGUAGUUACAGGCUUAUCAGUCAAAAUUGAUGUUUGUUGUACAUGUGUAUGUAUUGAUUUUUAAUAAGAGUGUCACUUUAAUCAUAAGCAUCUAGAUUUUCUAUAUAUUUGUAAACAUGUACACUAUUUAUCUCUGCAUCUUUUAUUUUGAAUCAUAAGGGAUCAAAUGCUGUUAAAAUCACUUAUUAUAGACAUCUUUUUAAGUGACAUAUAUGUAAUAAAAUGGCCUUAUUAUUAUUGCCAUCAUACAAUUGUAGAAUAAAAGUUAAGACCAGUUUGUGGUAGCCUGUGAGUCAUUCAUGUUGUUGUGAUAUAUCUUUCAUCAUGGUUUUGAGAAAUGGGAACAAAUGCUUCAAAAAUAUGUUUUACUAUACAUGUACUUUGAUAAUGUAAGGCUCCAUAAAUGGAGUCUGAUGUGUUUUAUAUUCUGUACUAUACUUUUAAUUAUCUUUUAUAUUUCAAUGCAAA